GAGAAGUCUGCAUCGGCUGCUCAUCUGCUCAUCAUGACUAGGGUCGGGCAAGACUUCAACAAGAAAAACUUAAGCUUCGUUGGAUUCCCACGUCAAAGGAAAGUUUCAAGUUUUCAGAAGGAGUUCUCACUCGAAGAUAAAGAACAGCUCGCUAACCACAAAAGAGGAACUGAUGCUAAGCUUUUAGUUGCACUUCCUAA
rnacentral:lncRNA from 1 species